rnacentral:rRNA from 1 species
GCAGUCGAGCGGUAGAGAGAAGCUUGCUUCUCUUGAGAGCGGCGGACGGGUGAGUAAAGCCUAGGAAUCUGCCUGGUAGUGGGGGAUAACGUUCGGAAACGGACGCUAAUACCGCAUACGUCCUACGGGAGAAAGCAGGGGACCUUCGGGCCUUGCGCUAUCAGAUGAGCCUAGGUCGGAUUAGCUAGUUGGUGAGGUAAUGGCUCACCAAGGCGACGAUCCGUAACUGGGCUGAGAGGAUGAUCAGUCACACUGGAACUGAGACACGGUCCAGACUCCUACGGGAGGCAGCAGUGGGGAAUAUUGGACAAUGGGCGAAAGCCUGAUCCAGCCAUGCCGCGUGUGUGAAGAAGGUCUUCGGAUUGUAAAGCACUUUAAGUUGGGAGGAAGGGCAUUAACCUAAUACGUUAGUGUUUUGACGUUACCGACAGAAUAAGCACCGGCUAACUCUGUGCCAGCAGCCGCGGUAAUACAGAGGGUGCAAGCGUUAAUCGGAAUUACUGGGCGUAAAGCGCGCGUAGGUGGUUUGUUAAGUUGGAUGUGAAAUCCCCGGGCCUCAACCUGGGAACUGCAUUCAAAACUGACUGACUAGAGUAUGGUAGAGGGUGGUGGAAUUUCCUGUGUAGCGGUGAAAUGCGUAGAUAUAGGAAAGGAACACCAGUGGCGAAGGCGACCACCUGGACUAUUACUGACACUGAGGUGCGAAAGCGUGGGGAGCAAACAGGA